GCGCCAGACUCCUACGGGAGGCAGCAGUGGGGAAUAUUGGGCAAUGGGCGCAAGCCUGACCCAGCAACGCCGCGUGAAGGAAGAAGGCUUUCGGGUUGUAAACUUCUUUUAUUGAGGACGAAACAAAUGACGGUACUCAAUGAAUAAGCCACGGCUAACUACGUGCCAGCAGCCGCGGUAAUACGUAGGUGGCAAGCGUUAUCCGGAUUUACUGGGUGUAAAGGGCGUGUAGCCGGGUUGACAAGUCAGAUGUGAAAUCCUGCGGCUUAACCGCAGAACUGCAUUUGAAACUGUUGAUCUUGAGUACUGGAGAGGCAGACGGAAUUCCUAGUGUAGCGGUGAAAUGCGUAGAUAUUAGGAGGAACACCAGUGGCGAAGGCGGUCUGCUGGACAGCAACUGACGGUGAGGCGCGAAAGCGUGGGGAGCAAACAGGAUUAGAUACCCCCGUACG
rnacentral:rRNA from 1 species